UGAUGCCUCGUAACCUCCAUUUCUCUUCAUCAAAGUGAGAAGUUUGGCCUAGAAGAUCUCCAGAGACCUUCUGAACUCUUGGGCUUGGAAGUUGGGCUUUUUUAAAGAGGCUUGAGGUGGGGCGCCUGGGUGGCUCAGUUGGUUAAGGGUCUGACUUCAGCUCAGGUCAUGAUCUCGCCAUCCGUGAGUUCUAGCCCCGCGUCAGGCUCUGUGCUGAUGGUUCAGUGCCUGGAGCCUGUUUCAGAUUCUGUGUCUCCCUCUCUCUCUGACCCUCCCCCCCGUUUAUGCUCUGUCUCUCUCUGUCUCAAACAUAAAUAAACGUUAAAAAAAUUUUUUUAAAUAAAUAAAUAAAGAGGCUUGAGGCAGUAAGAGGCUGGGGGUGGGAAGGGAAUUGGAUCUCCUCAUCUCUCCAGGGAUGGGGCUGAGCCAGGUGAUAUCAUAAUGGGCAGUGCCCAUCCUAGAGGGGAAAGCAGGGUGGGGUAGGAGCAGGAAGGUUGUAGGGGAGAGAAGCUGAGAGAUCCUCCAUAGGAGGGGUCACAGCAGCUAGCGGCACCUGCCGGGGUUGGAGGUGUGGGCUAUCUGGGAGGCGGUGGAGGUCACUGAUGUCUUACAGGAGUCCUUGGUAGGUAAAGCCCACCACGACAUCCCCUAGACCUCACUAUGUUCCUCUUCUCCCGUAAGACCAAGACCCCCAUCAGCACCUACAGUGACUCCUACAGGGCUCCAACCUCUAUCAAGGAGGUCUAUAAAGACCCACCUCUGUGGGCCUGGGAAGCCAACAAGUUUGUGACCCCGGGCCUGACUCAGACUAUGCAGCGCCACGUGGAUCCUGAAGCCCUGCAGAAGAUGGUCAAAUGUGCUGUGCAGAACUACAGCUAUAAGAGUUCCAUAGCAGGCCACCCCUACUUUCCUGAGAAAUACUGGCUCUGUCAAGAGGAAGUAGACAAAUGCAACCCAUACUACCUACGUGGUGACCGGUAUAACACAUGGAGGAUGGGACCUUACAACUGUACCAGCUGGAACAAAUAUACCACAUGCCUUCCCCAGCUACCUAAGGAGGCUGGCAUGGAGACAGCUGUUCGAGGAAUGCCCUUGCAGUGCCCUCCUAAGCCGGAACGACUCAAUGCCUACGAGCGUGAGGUGGUGGUGAAUAUGUUGAACUCGCUGUCACGGAACCAGCGGCUGCCGCAGAUCACUCGCCGAUGCGGGUGCGUGGACCCGCUGCCGGGCUGCCUGCCCUUCCAGGGUUAUGAAAGCUCUUGCUCAGGCCGCCACUACUGUCUACGCGGGAUGGACUACUACGUGACCAGAGCACCCUGCACGGAACGCCGCCACCGGCCUUUGUGCGCACAGCAGCCGACUGUAAGUCUGGCGGAAACACAUUGCAAAUGCGCUUAGCGCAGCGAGGACCGCGGAGACAGUUGUCCGCUGCAUGCACUGAUUGGAAGAUACCACCAGGGGGCGCUAGUACCAUGGGGACGUCAAAGCUGGCAAGGGAAUGGAGAACCCCAUGAGAGGGCACGGAGGCUGGCAUGGAAGGGUCCGCAGAUGGGACACAAGUCACUUCAAGAAGACCGGUGGCCCCCAAAGAAACAACUAUGUCAUCCACCCUGAGUUUGUGUCUGAAACCUAUCCUGAUUGCCACUGCUGGUAGAGCCCAGCCUGGUGGGGACAAGGGGGCUGAGCAGUAAAUAAACUCUUCACCCCA